rnacentral:rRNA from 1 species
UACGUAGGGUGCGAGCGUUGUCCGGAAUUAUUGGGCGUAAAGAGCUUGUAGGCGGUUUGUCGCGUCUGCUGUGAAAAUCCGGGGCUCAACCCCGGACUUGCAGUGGGUACGGGCAGACUAGAGUCCGGUAGGGGAGUGUGGAAUUCCCGGUGUAGCGGUGAAAUGCGCAGAUAUCGGGAGGAACACCAGUAGCGAAGGCGACACUCUGGGCCGGUACUGACGCUGAGGAGCGAAAGCGUGGGGAGCAAACAGG